rnacentral:piRNA from 1 species
UUAGCUUCUAUAGUUCUGGUUCUGGCUAAC